GGGGGUGUAGCGUAGCCCGGUCAUCGCGCUCGUUUGGGACGAGGAGGUCGCAGGUUCGAAUCCUGCCACCCCCG
rnacentral:tRNA from 1 species